GACGAACGCUGGCGGCGUGCUUAACACAUGCAAGUCGAACGGAAAGGCCCUGCUUUUGUGGGGUGCUCGAGUGGCGAACGGGUGAGUAACACGUGAGUAACCUGCCCUUGACUUUGGGAUAACUUCAGGAAACUGGGGCUAAUACCGGAUAGGAGCUCCUGCUGCAUGGUGGGGGUUGGAAAGUUUCGGCGGUUGGGGAUGGACUCGCGGCUUAUCAGCUUGUUGGUGGGGUAGUGGCUUACCAAGGCUUUGACGGGUAGCCGGCCUGAGAGGGUGACCGGCCACCUGGGGACUGAGAUACGGACCAGACUCCUACGGGAGGCAGCAGUGGGGAAUAUUGCACAAUGGGCGGACGCCUGAUGCAGCAACGCCGCGUGCGGGAUGACGGCCUUCGGGUUGUAAACCGCUUUCGCCUGUAACGAAGCGUGAUUGACGGUAAUGGGUAAAGAAGCACCGGCUAACUACGUG
rnacentral:rRNA from 1 species